rnacentral:rRNA from 1 species
GACGAACGCUGGCGGCGUGCUUAACACAUGCAAGUCGAACGGAAAGGCCCUGCUUUUGUGGGGUGCUCGCGUGGCGAACGUGUGAGUAACCCAUGAGUAACCUGCCCUUGACUUUGUGAUAACUUCAGAAAACUGGUGCUACUACCGGCUAGGAGCUCCUGCUGCAUGGUGGGGUUUGGACCGUUUCGGCGGUUGGGGAUGGACUCGCGGCUUAUCAGCUUGUUGGUGGGGUAGUGGCUUACCAAGGCUUUGACGGGUAGCCGGCCUGAGAGGUUGACCGGCGACAAUGGGACUGAGAGACGGACCAGACGCCUACGGGAGGCAGCAGUGGGGAAUAUUGCACAAUGGGCGGAAGCCUGAUGCAGAAACGCCGCGUGCGGGAUGACGGCCUUCGGGUUGUAAACGGCUUUAGCCUGUGACGAAGCGUGAGUGACGGUAAUGGGUAAAGAAGCACCGGCUAACUACGUG